GUUUAGUCUGUGAAUUCAGUUUUUUUUUUUUUAAUGGAAGUACUAUCAGCUACAAUGGGUCAAUUUCUUGUGUGCAGCAUAUGUCCCAGUCAUGCAUAUACAUACAUAUAUUUGUUUUCAUAUUCUUUUUCAUUAAAGGUUAUUACAAGAUAUUAAACAUAGUUCCUUGUGCUAUACAGCAAAAACUUUU